CACUUCAGUGCAUUAGGCGUAUGUCAUUUCGUGGCAUCGAGCCAUCCAGCUUGACGCCACUAAUGGAGUGUAUUUAUUCGUCAUGGAGAGAAUGCAAAUGAUCUCUUUGAGGGUUGUGUAGAGACAUUUCUGUACUACAGUUAACUAGAUUCAGAUGAAGAAGCUUUAUUCUUCUGAUGAUUUUUAGGUCACCUGCGACAACGUCUUAAGUGACCUACUCUAAUUAUAACCAUCUUUCAUGCAAACACACAGAGAGGCAGGAAUGAACAGGUGUGACAUUGAUUUUAUUGACAGUGUUUACAACAGAAACAUGUAUAUCAAGGCUUGAACCGGAAGUACAUGACACAAGCG